AUGAACGCUAGCGGCAGGCCUUAUACAUGCAAGUCGAGGGGCAGCAGGACACUUCGGUGUUGCUGGCGACCGGCGCACGGGUGCGUAACACGUAUGUAAUCUACCUUGUACUGGAGCAUAGCUCUCGGAAACGAGAAUUAAUACUCCAUAUGAUCUCACUGGCGCAUGCUAGAGAGAUGAAAGCUCAGGCGGUACAAGAUGAGCAUGCGGCCCAUUAGCUAGUUGGUGAGGUAAUGGCUCACCAAGGCAAUGAUGGGUAGGGGUUCUGAGAGGAAGAUCCCCCACACUGGCACUGAAAUACGGACCAGGCUCCUACGGGAGGCAGCAGUAGGGAAUAUUGGUCAAUGGACGCAAGUCUGAACCAGCCAUGCCGCGUGCAGGAUGAAGGCCCUAUGGGUUGUAAACUGCUUUUAUAUGGGAAUAAAAACCCCUUGCGAGGGGCAUUGAAUGUACCAUAAGAAUAAGCACCGGCUAACUCCGU
rnacentral:rRNA from 1 species